rnacentral:rRNA from 3 species
UACAGAGGGGGCUAGCGUUAUUCGGAAUUAUUGGGCGUAAAGGGCGCGUAGGCGGCCAUGCGUGUCUUCCGUGAAAUCCCUCGGCUUAACUGAGGACGUGCGGAAGAAACUGCAAGGCUCGAGUCCGGGAGAGGGGGGUGGAAUUCCCAGUGUAGCGGUGAAAUGCGUAGAUAUUGGGAGGAACACCGGUGGCGAAGGCGGCCCCCUGGACCGGUACUGACGCUGAGGCGCGAAAGCGUGGGUAGCAAACGGG